rnacentral:lncRNA from 1 species
CAAUCCCAAGCCUCCUUGGAGAACUGAGGGCGCCACCGGAGCUCCGGUAUCAGGAUCCGGAGGAUUUAAACACUUAGUGUUCGUCAACGGUUAAGUUCCGGAGUGGGGCGGGCCUUGCGCGCACGCAGUGAAAAGCCCAGCCGGGCGGCCGGGAGGACGUCAGAGGCGGCCGGAAGCGCUCGCUUCCGUGGUCGUUGCUCGGCGACUAGAAGCGGACUAAAUUUGAAAGGACAAAAGAGGGGAAGUUAGAUUUCUUCCGGUUUCUUUCCUAAGAAGCAUCCCCUCCUCUCAAUAACAUAAAUUAAAAAAAAAAAAAAGAAAACACUUCCUGUUGAGCAGAAAAGAACUUGACAAAUUUAUAAACCGUUUGUGCUUACUCUGCAGCUGAUUGGCAAGUUCUUUCUGUAGGGAGAUCCAAGUGACAAACCUCAAUGGCUGCCAUGGGUUACAUUUAGUGCAGAGGCCCUGGGGUGUAAGCUUCCUCACAUCUUCGAGCAAGGAGGACACUGUGGAAUUGCCAUGGCUGUUGGCCUCUACAGAGAAAAGCUACCAGUCUUAUUUUCUUAUUUUUCAAAUUUGCAAGAGCUUUAAUUUGCUUCACAGAGAACCAUUUCCAGUGUGCCAUACUUUAAAAAAAUGUAUGAAUUUGUUGCACAAACAAUGCUACAACAAGAAAAAUAUUGUAAAGGGAAAAAUUCAUCCAAAAUUCUACAGCCUAACAUGUCAAUUGUUUUCAUUUUUCCUUGUGCCCUUUCACUCCCUGUCCACAUGACAUGGUCUUUAUGAUUAGACCUGGUAAAUGUUCAGUGUUAUAAACCCUGCUGUGCCUGCUAAUAGGCUGGCUGUGGGAAUUAAAGAGCUAUUGUUAUCACCAGGAACAGGGAAGUUGGAAUCAGUUAUCAGUUCUGUUAUUUAUUUACUAAAUUUCUCCAAACACCCAACUUUCCCUUUCUCUAUUUAUACUCCUGAGCUAAGCUGGACUACUGCUUUUUAAAAACAACUACAGCUUCACUUUUAAGGAACAUAUUUUUAAGGGGCAUUGCCAGUCUGUCAGUUUAUGCAAAAUUCCUUUGAGAUGAACCUCUUGGGAGAAGUAACAACAAUGUGUGUCAUCACGUUGAUUUACUUUAUUUUUUUGAAGCUUGGCUUGUUUGGAAUGAAGACAAGAAUGAUCAAAUAACAAACACUGGUAAAUUCUCUGAAAGUAUUUGCUAAUCUGAGUUAAUGUACCAUCAUCCUGAUUUGCGUUCAAGAAAACCAUAGGUAUAACCAACCUACCUACACUUGCAAAGUUAAUAAGCAAAGACACUCUAAGACCUGCCAAAGACAAUCUCCUUUCUCAGGUUAGCCUGCCAUUCUACAGUGUGGACCUGACUGAGCUUGACUGACAAAGUCACUCCUGGAAGCGUAGGUUUAUUGUCUGUUGCCAGAUUUGGCACAUCAGCUUCUUAAAGGCCAUGUUUCCUUUAACUAAUGCUCUCAGAAUCUUUGAUAAAAGGUCCUUUGAUAAAGUGUUAUGGCAAUAACCAUGCAAAUCUGAAUAGCAGGAAUCUUCAUUUUAGAAACUCCAUCAAGCAUCAGGUUAUGUAAUGAGCUUAGCAUCCCUCUAGGAAAUAAAUCACAAUAUAGUAGAUGGCUAUGAAGGUCUGAAUGCAAAGCAUAUGGCCUGCCACCCACCCACCUAUGCCAUCCACAUGCUGUGUCUUUGUUCCAUCAUCCAGACUGAUCCUAGUAACAAGUUCCUAGCUAAGUAUACUCAAGGGAGGUAUCUCUGACAGGGAAAUAGCUGCCAGACCAUUGAAGAUACAAGUUGAGUGGCAGAAACAAAGUCAUAUAGUCUAAAUCUUCCAAGAACCUUAAGAGAGUGAAUUAUGUUGUAACAGUGAUACACCAUGCUGCUCAAAGAGGAAUCAGACCUAGUCCCUUCCUUCAGGGAGCUCUAAAUCUAGUGUGGAUUCACAGUACACCACAGUGCUACAACAGACAUAAACAAGACCUUACCCCUUCCGGUAAGGGGGAAGGAUGUAGAAGCAUAAAAGAGGGACACCUAACCCUGUCUUGGAAAUAGGGAGCUUCCUAGAGAAGGUAAAAUCUGGAUUGAAUACUGAAAAAUGAAUAACACAUAGCCAACAAAGAGGCUCGGUCAAGAAAGUGAAAAAGAAAGUAUGGGAACAGGAAAUUCCUUUCAAAUUGACCUUUGAAAGGUCAAUUAUGAUAAAUAGGACAGAUAAAUGAUGACAAGACUCUAUUUCUUAAGCCCUUAGAAAGUGCACGAGAACAUAGCUAUAGGCUGGGAAUAGUAUCCAUGUGCUGAAUAUAUGCCCAAAAGACCUACUGUGCUUGAUGAUAAAUAAACACAUACAGGUAGAAGUGGAUUUUGAGGAUAGCUCUUACUAUAUAGCUUUCUGAGAUCAGUCUUCUCAUCUGUGAUAGAACCCACUUUAAAGGGAUUUUGUGAGCAUGGAACUUUUUUUUUUUUUUGAGGAAGAUUAGCCCUGAGCUAACAUCUGCUGCCAAUCCUCCUCUUUUUGCUGAGGAAGAUGGGCCCUGAGCUGCCAGACCAUUGAAGAUACAAGUCAAUGUCAGCCAUGUCAGCCCCCAGGAUCCAAACUGGCAAACCCUGGGCUGCCGAAGCAGAACGUGCAAACUUAACUGCUACACCACCAGCCAGCCCCAGCAUGGAACUUUUUAUCACAUAAGGAGGCUUGUUCUUCCUGGAAAUAACUCCCUGGAAAACCCUUGGCAGAGAUGGGUAUCACUUUUUUAUAUCUUUCCCUACUAGUAUUUUCCUUAGCUGCCUAGCGUGGUUGGGAGGAGAUGGGCAAGGCACAGGAUAAUAAAUACUCAACUUACUGUAGUCAUAGUUCUCCAGGGAGAUGUAGAGAGGAAAGUCCCUACAUAUUGCUCUAAGUAGGUAUACUAUGAAGUUUGGGACCCAGCCUCCUGUGUGGAAUCCUUGGUUCUGGUGGACGCUAUCAUUGGAGCAAGAAAGACUAUGUUUUUGUCUUUGGCCUCAGGCCUUCACUAAAAGCAUGAGAAUAGCUUCCUAGACUCUUUUUCCAUGGAACUUACACCCUUAACAUCUUUCAACUGUGGCAGUUAUGCCAGAAGAGAUACAGAAAAAUCAGUUAAGACAACACGCACAAAGGAAAAGAAGGUACAUUUGCUUCAAUAUGACCCUUUUUGUACUCCCAUUACCUUUUAGUAAUAUGACCAGUUGUUCUGGUUUACAGCUGACAUAUGUCCUAGUUCCUCCUCCCUGGAAGGUGCAAAGUUUCAAGCCUUCUUCUGAACUUGGAUUGGAUUUCCAAUGCCAGGCAUUCUGCCAGGUCAGGGGUCAGCAAACUAUAGCCUGUGAGCACCUGUUUCGCUAUAGCCUACAAUCUAAGAAUGGCUUUUGCAUUUUUAAAUGGAUGAAUGAAAUAAAAGAAAGAAUAAUAUUUUGGGAUAUGUGCAAAUUAUAUUAAAUUCAAAUUUCAGUGUUCAUAAAAAUGUUUUAUUAGUACAUAACCACACUCAUUUGUUUACGUAUUAUCUGAGGCUGCUUUUGUACUACAAGGGUGAAGUUGACUAGUUGCAACAGAGAUGGUAUGGCCCACAAAACCUAAAUGACAACUUUUGGCUUCUCUUUCAUCUGCAAAAUGAGUGUAAUAGUAACAUCUAUGUCACCAGGUCAAUGACAUAGUAGCUAUGAUAGGGCUCAAUAAACAAUCAAAAAGGGGAAUAUUUUGAAGCAAUAUGAAAAAUAAGUUAUUAAUAAUAAGAUUUCUCCAGCAGUAAUAAUCUGAGACAUUCUGUUUCUUCCUCCAUGGUGGGAAGGGAAAUGUAGAAAUUGUGGGAAGGAAGGAAGUAGGAACUGAAGGGAGAAGAGAUAAGAGAGGCAAAGAAAGAGAGUGGGGAGAAGGACAGGAAAAGAGAAGUAGAUGGGGAGAAGGAGAGGAAGUUAGAAAUGGGAAAAGAAGGGGACAGUUGGAAAUAAGUAAAAAUAAAAAGAAGGGAGGGAAAGAGAGAGAUAGGGAGGAGGUGGGAAAUACUGCUCAGGAAGAGGAAAGGAAGGAAAGGAGUGGUACAGGGAAAAGGAGGCGGGGCACACAGGACAGAGGCUAAACCACCAUCCUCUCCUCCUGUUUAUCAUUUCCCAACCUUCCUGUCACUCACCUCUCAACAACUUAGUUGCUCUCUGGUAGUCUCUCUCUUCACACCAAUACUAUCUCACUUAAACUUCUACUUGAAUGAUAAAUCUAACACCCUGGCCUCUCAGUUCUAACAACAGGGCAUGUAAUCUGCCUCAGCCUUCCAUUCACCUUCUCUCACCCUGCAGGGGCUCACCUUGGACCUUGGCAUCACUAGAAACUCACAACUUCUGAAAUCUCAAUUUCAAAUAUCCCACCCAGACCACCAGCAUCUGUACUGCCAAGUAUCCCACUGCAACCAUUCUUCAACAUCAAUGCUUCUAACACCUUGGCCCCUUUCCCAGCUCCCUUCCACAUCCUCACUCUCAGCCCUCAUAUGCCAUAAUUUACUUUCUAUACGGUUUUGAUUCUACCUACAUUAUCAUAAACAUUCUCUUGCAAACACCCUCUUGGCCUUCUCUCCCUCUGUUGCAUUUGCUUAGCAAAAUUUCAAGCCUGUAUGAACUCAACAAUUUGUCUUCUCCCUGCCUGCACCUGAACAAACAUCUUUGAUUAUUUUACAUUCAUGAUCUUAAAUAUGAAAUGAGCUCUUAAUAUUGUUCAGAAGUCCUACUGAUUAGUUUUCUUUAGAAAACCAUUUCCACUCUCAAAGAUGUCUAUUUCAUAAAUUCUCUCUCCUCAAACAUCCUACUCCACUAUCUUUACCCUCAGCUGAUGUUGCCUUUUCUUUGCUGAGAAAAUAAUCAGACAGGAACCCUUCCUAUCUUCAAACUUUCCUGCAACUGUACCCUGCUUGCAACUCCUAUUAUAAAUGAACUUGUUCAUUUCUAAGAACUUUUAAGUCAUCUAAGGCCCUCCAUGUGCCCUUUGGAACACAUCUAAUUCUUCUUCUCAAGGAGUUACCUUUCUCCCUUUCUAUGAAAUUAUUCCUAGUAGCUUAACUACAAGCUCUAGUACAGCAUUGCCCAAUAGAACUUUUUGUCACGAUGGAAAUGUUUUGUACGUGUACAGUCCAAUACAAUUGCUAUUAGCCACAUGUGACUUUUGAGCACUUGAAAUGUGGUUAGUGUGACUGAGGAACUGAAUUUUUAAUUGUAUUUAAUAUAAUUAAUUUAAAUAGCCACAUGUGGCUAAUGAUAGCGUGGCUCCUAUUGAAACCAGUAAACAGCCAUUGAUGACUAGGUAGCUAGCAACUAAAGUUUUUUUUUGUUUGUUUUUUGCAACUGCUGAUUAUAGCUUUUAGUUGUUCACCUGCCCAUUGUUAACUGCGCUGUUUAGGCAAUAUGCUCCCUGACUCCUGCUAAGUUCCUAUAGAUAACAUCUCUCUGGAGCCUGGAUCAGCAUGAUAAUGGGUGUUCUAGCUGUUUUUCAGGAAUUAGGACCCCCUUGUCCAGUUCAGGCCAGUUGAGACCAACAACCCAUCAAAUGGGCCCACGCAGAUACGGGAUAAAUGACCUUUUGAUGUCAAGAAGCUAAGAACUCCACCCUCAGAUCAUGCUAACGCCACCAUUUUGUGAACAUGCAUCCUAUGAAAAGGCACGGAGUCUGACUCCGCCUGUGCAGAUCGUCAAUUACCUCACCUCUCCUCAAUUCCAAUUACCUAUCUCCACACUGCAGACCACCUUGCCCCUUACCCCAUAAAUAUCCCUGAGCCCCCAUUUUCGGGGAAGUGGAUUUGAGAUUCAUUCUCCCACUUCCUCACUUGGCUGCCUUGUGAUUAAAACCGUCUCUCUGCU